rnacentral:misc_RNA from 1 species
UUUACAUCCCAUUAGUUGCAGAGCACUCUGCAGAACAGAACGCGUAUAUCUAAAAGAGUCUUUCCCUUGAUCUCUCUUCUCCUCCACCUCCUCAUCAUCUACUACCACUAUAUACAACAACUUCGUUACCUCUGUAGCCAUUUCCUGGAAGAUGAAUUCGGAGUUGUUUUCGUCUGUAUAUAUCAAAAACGGCGACGGCGGCGGCGGCGGUGG